rnacentral:rRNA from 1 species
GAGUUUGAUCCUGGCUCAGGAUGAACGCUGGCGGCGUGCUUAACACAUGCAAGUCGAACGAAGCACCUUGAUUUGAUUCUUCGGAUGAAGAUCUUGGUGACUGAGUGGCGGACGGGUGAGUAACGCGUGGGUAACCUGCCUCAUACAGGGGGAUAACAGUUGGAAACGGCUGCUAAUACCGCAUAAGCGCACAGCAUCGCAUGAUGCAGUGUGAAAAACUCCGGUGGUAUGAGAUGGACCCGCGUCUGAUUAGCUGGUUGGUGAGGUAACGGCCCACCAAGGCGACGAUCAGUAGCCGGCCUGAGAGGGUGACCGGCCACAUUGGGACUGAGACACGGCCCAAACUCCUACGGGAGGCAGCAGUGGGGAAUAUUGCACAAUGGGGGAAACCCUGAUGCAGCGACGCCGCGUGAAGGAAGAAGUAUCUCGGUAUGUAAACUUCUAUCAGCAGGGAAGAUAAUGACGGUACCUGACUAAGAAGCCCCGGCUAACUACGUGCCAGCCGCCGCGGUAAUAC